rnacentral:misc_RNA from 1 species
AAAAAAUGGGAGGCAAAAGGCACUCCAUGGAUAGUGGAGAUAACUCCAUUGAACCAGAAACCUGGGAGACAAAUGCUUCAAAAACAAGAAUACCUGAUGAUGCGGAAUCAGAGCAAGAAGCUUCAGAAGAUCUGAGAAAAGCCAGUCGCUCAGGUAAAAGGAAAUCGGGUGUGGUUGUCAUCCGCAACAUCAACUACAUUGCAUCGAAGAGGCACAAUUCAUCAGGUAGCGAAACAGAUUCACCAUCUGAAAGUGAAAGUGGGGAAGAUGGAGAUUCGCAGGCUAUUAGUCCAGAAAUUAAACACAAGAAAUCUACUAGAUCAAGGAGCAAAGGAAAACAUCUAAAUUUUGAAGAUCAAUCAAAUACUCCGGCAAAAACUGUUUCACCAGAAGCUGAUGGACAUU